rnacentral:lncRNA from 10 species
UUGUUCCACUAUCUGGAAGGUCUCUGAACCCAGUCCAAUAGGAUUUUUGGAGGCUUCAUUGCACAGGCAGGGUGGAUAUUAUCACUGACCAUUGGUGAUCAGUUCAACCUUCAGCCCACUCCCCUCCCUGGUGGUGGGCUGGGGCUAGGGGGUGGGACUGAAAUUUCCAACUCUCUAAACACAUUGUUGGUUUAUCUGGCAGCCAGUCCCCAUCAG